GGCCCAGGGCGGCGGCUAACACAUGCAAGUCGAACGGUAACAGGAAGCAGCUUGCUGCUUUGCUGACGAGUGGCGGACGGGUGAGUAAUGUCUGGGAAACUGCCUGAUGGAGGGGGAUAACUACUGGAAACGGUGGCUAAUACCGCAUAACGUCGCAAGACCAAAGAGGGGGACCUUCGGGCCUCUUGCCAUCAGAUGUGCCCAGAUGGGAUUAGCUUGUUGGUGAGGUAACGGCUCACCAAGGCGACGAUCCCUAGCUGGUCUGAGAGGAUGACCAGCCACACUGGAACUGAGACACGGUCCAGACUCCUACGGGAGGCAGCAGUGGGGAAUAUUGCACAAUGGGCGCAAGCCUGAUGCAGCCAUGCCGCGUGUAUGAAGAAGGCCUUCGGGUUGUAAAGUACUUUCAGCGGGGAGGAAGGUGUUGUGGUUAAUAACCACAGCAAUUGACGUUACCCGCAGAAGAAGCACCGGCUAACUCCGUGCCAGCAGCCGCGGUAAUACGGAGGGUGCAAGCGUUAAUCGGAAUUACUGGGCGUAAAGCGCACGCAGGCGGUCUGUCAAGUCGGAUGUGAAAUCCCCGGGCUCAACCUGGGAACUGCAUUCGAAACUGGCAGGCUUGAGUCUUGUAGAGGGGGGUAGAAUUCCAGGUGUAGCGGUGAAAUGCGUAGAGAUCUGGAGGAAUACCGGUGGCGAAGGCGGCCCCCUGGACAAAGACUGACGCUCAGGUGCGAAAGCGUGGGGAGCAAACAGGAUUAGAUACCCUGGUAGUCCACGCCGUAAACGAUGUCUACUUGGAGGUUGUGCCCUUGAGGCGUGGCUUCCGGAGCUAACGCGUUAAGUAGACCGCCUGGGGAGUACGGCCGCAAGGUUAAAACUCAAAUGAAUUGACGGGGGCCCGCACAAGCGGUGGAGCAUGUGGUUUAAUUCGAUGCAACGCGAAGAACCUUACCUGGUCUUGACAUCCACAGAACUUUCCAGAGAUGGACUGGUGCCUUCGGGAACUGUGAGACAGGUGCUGCAUGGCUGUCGUCAGCUCGUGUUGUGAAAUGUUGGGUUAAGUCCCGCAACGAGCGCAACCCUUAUCCUUUGUUGCCAGCGGUCCGGCCGGGAACUCAAAGGAGACUGCCAGUGAUAAACUGGAGGAAGGUGGGGAUGACGUCAAGUCAUCAUGGCCCUUACGACCAGGGCUACACACGUGCUACAAUGGCGCAUACAAAGAGAAGCGACCUCGCGAGAGCAAGCGGACCUCAUAAAGUGCGUCGUAGUCCGGAUUGGAGUCUGCAACUCGACUCCAUGAAGUCGGAAUCGCUAGUAAUCGUGGAUCAGAAUGCCACGGUGAAUACGUUCCCGGGCCUUGUACACACCGCCCGUCACACCAUGGGAGUGGGUUGCAAAAGAAGUAGGUAGCUUAACCUUCGGGAGGGCGCUACCACUUUUGAUUCGGG
rnacentral:rRNA from 1 species